rnacentral:piRNA from 1 species
UGGAUGUGCCAGUAAUGAAACAAACCUUCU